rnacentral:rRNA from 1 species
AACGCGAAGAACCUUACCUGGGCUCGAAAUGUAGUGGACCGUGGUGGAAACACCAUUUCCCAGCAAUGGGCUGCUAUAUAGGUGCUGCAUGGCUGUCGUCAGCUCGUGUCGUGAGAUGUUGGGUUAAGUCCCGCAACGAGCGCAACCCUUAUCUCCAGUUGCUACCAUUUAGUUGAGCACUCUGGCGAAACCGCCUCGGAUAACGGGGAGGAAGGUGGGGAUGACGUCAAGUCCUCAUGGCCUUUAUGUCCAGGGCUACACACGUGCUACAAUGGCCGGUACAAACCGCUGCAAACCCGCGAGGGGGAGCUAAUCGGAAAAAGCCGGCCUCAGUUCGGAUUGGAGUCUGCAACUCGACUCCAUGAAGCUGGAAUCGCUAGUAAUCGCGGAUCAGAACGCCGCGGUGAAUACGUUCCCGGGCCUUGUACACACCGCUCGCGA